CCUACGGGUUGCAGCAGUGGGGAAUAUUGCACAAUGGGCGCAAGCCUGAUGCAGCCAUGCCGCGUGUAUGAAGAAGGCCUUCGGGUUGUAAAGUACUUUCAGCGGGGAGGAAGGUGUUGUGGUUAAUAACCGCAGCAAUUGACGUUACCCGCAGAAGAAGCACCGGCUAACUCCGUGCCAGCAGCCGCGGUAAUACGGAGGGUGCAAGCGUUAAUCGGAAUUACUGGGCGUAAAGCGCACGCAGGCGGUCUGUCAAGUCGGAUGUGAAAUCCCCGGGCUCAACCUGGGAACUGCAUUCGAAACUGGCAGGCUAGAGUCUUGUAGAGGGGGGUAGAAUUCCAGGUGUAGCGGUGAAAUGCGUAGAGAUCUGGAGGAAUACCGGUGGCGAAGGCGGCCCCCUGGACAAAGACUGACGCUCAGGUGCGAAAGCGUGGGGAGCAAACAGGAUUAGAUACCCGUGUAGUC
rnacentral:rRNA from 1 species